GCCUACCCUAGCCCCAUCAACCUCCAUCAAGAACCCACUACUCUACCCAACUAAAACAUUACCCACAACCUAGUAUUGGCGAUAGAAAAGUACAUCCAUGGGCGCUAUAGAGAUAGUACCGCAAGGGAAAGAUGAAAUAACAAUGAAAACUAAGCACAACAUAGCAAAGAUAAACCCUUGUACCUUUCGCACCAUGAUCUAGCAAGAACAACCAGGCAAAACGAACUUAAGCCUGUCACCCCGAAACCCAAGCGAGCUACUUACAAGCAGCUACCAUGAGCUAACCCGUCUCUAUUGCAAAAGAGUGGGAUGACUUGUUAGUAGUGGUGAAAAGCCAACCGAGCUGGGUGAUAGCUGGUUGCCUGCAAAACGAAUUUAAGUUCUCCCUUAACCUCCAUUUUCCCCAGACCUAGCCCAACUUAAACGUAAUAGGUUAAGAGCUAUUUAAAGGGGGUACAGCCCCUUUAAAAAAGGACACAACCUCCUCUAGCGGAUAACCCCACAACACACAACCCCGUAGGCCUCAAAGCAGCCACCCCCAAAGAUUGCGUCAAAGCUCCCCCAACUAAAAACCCCUAAAACUAACGCGACUCCCUACACCCACAGCAAGCUAACCUAUAAUAAUAGAUGAAUCAAUGCUAGAACGAGUAACUAGGACACCAUGUCCCCCUAAGCGCCAGCCUACACACCAUUAACAGUACAACCUCAAUAACAGCACCCCUCCUCCAGCCAAACAUUGAACAUACCCUGUUAAUCCAACCCAGGAGCGCACAAUGGAGCGAUCAAAAUCUGCAAAAGGAACUCGGCAAACCCAAGACCCGACUGUUUACCAAAAACAUAGCCUCCAGCCAAACAAGUAUUGGAGGUGACGCCUGCCCAGUGACAUCACGUUCAACGGCCGCGGUAUCCUAACCGUGCAAAGGUAGCGCAAUCAAUUGUCCCAUAAAUCGAGACCUGUAUGAACGGCUAAACGAGGUCUUAACUGUCUCCUGCAGACAAUCAGUGAAACUGAUCCUUCUGUGCAAAAGCAGAAAUAAGCACAUAAGACGAGAAGACCCUGUGGAACUUCAAAAUCAAUAGCCACCCCACCCAACUCACAAACCCACCCGGGCCCACCCCCCAAAACACUGGCUAACAUUUUUAGGUUGGGGCGACCUUGGAGAAAAACAAAUCCUCCAAAAACAAGGCCAAGUCCCUUAACUUAGAGCAACAUCUCAACGUACCAACAGUACCCAGACCCAGUAAAUCUGACCAAUGAACCAAGCUACCCCAGGGAUAACAGCGCAAUCUCCCCCAAGAGCCCCUAUCGACGAGGAGGUUUACGACCUCGAUGUUGGAUCAGGACAUCCUAGUGGUGCAGCCGCUACUAAGGGUUCGUUUGUUCAACGAUUAACAGUCCUACGUGAUCUGAGUUCAGACCGGAGCAAUCCAGGUCGGUUUCUAUCUAUGACCAACCUUUCCCAGUACGAAAGGACCGAAAAGGUAGGGCCAAUACCACAAGCACGCCCUCUCCCCAAGUGAUGCCUUCCACUUAAUCACCAAAGGACCGCCCCCAGCACCCCAACGAAAAAGGUU
rnacentral:rRNA from 1 species